CCUACGGGGAAGGAUGAGAAGCUUCGACUAAGGUUCGACUCGAGCGCCAGCGAGAGAACGUUGCCGCAGGCAACGGCCCGAAGGGCGAGGAGCGAUAGCGACGAGUUAUCCUUCCCCCUCUA
rnacentral:sRNA from 1 species